UACGAAGGGUGCAAGCGUUACUCGGAAUUACUGGGCGUAAAGCGUGCGUAGGUGGCCCCAUAAGUCCGCUGUGAAAGUCAAAGGCUCAACCUUUGAAAGCCGGUGGAUACUGUGGGACUAGAGUACGGAAGAGGCGAGUGGAAUUCCUGGUGUAGCGGUGGAAUGCGCAGAUAUCAGGAGGAACACCAAUAGCGAAGGCAGCUCGCUGGGACGUUACUGACACUGAGGCGCGAAAGCGUGGGGAGCGAACAGG
rnacentral:rRNA from 1 species